rnacentral:rRNA from 1 species
GCGGAAUGGCGCAGCUACACAUGCAGUCGAACGGUAGCACAGAGAGCUUGCUCUCGGGUGACGAGUGGCGGACGGGUGAGUAAUGUCUGGGAAACUGCCUGAUGGAGGGGGAUAACUACUGGAAACGGUAGCUAAUACCGCAUAACGUCGCAAGACCAAAGAGGGGGACCUUCGGGCCUCUUGCCAUCAGAUGUGCCCAGAUGGGAUUAGCUAGUAGGUGGGGUAACGGCUCACCUAGGCGACGAUCCCUAGCUGGUCUGAGAGGAUGACCAGCCACACUGGAACUGAGACACGGUCCAGACUCCUACGGGAGGCAGCAGUGGGGAAUAUUGCACAAUGGGCGCAAGCCUGAUGCAGCCAUGCCGCGUGUAUGAAGAAGGCCUUCGGGUUGUAAAGUACUUUCAGCGGGGAGGAAGGCGAUGAGGUUAAUAACCUUGUCGAUUGACGUUACCCGCAGAAGAAGCACCGGCUAACUCCGUGCCAGCAGCCGCGGUAAUACGGAGGGUGCAAGCGUUAAUCGGAAUUACUGGGCGUAAAGCGCACGCAGGCGGUCUGUCAAGUCGGAUGUGAAAUCCCCGGGCUCAACCUGGGAACUGCAUUCGAAACUGGCAGGCUAGAGUCUUGUAGAGGGGGGUAGAAUUCCAGGUGUAGCGGUGAAAUGCGUAGAGAUCUGGAGGAAUACCGGUGGCCAAGGCGGCCC